rnacentral:sRNA from 1 species
AUGUUCUUGUACGACAAGAUCCGCCGGUCAGAGCAGAAGUACCGCGUGGCCGUGGAGGUGCUGUCCUACCACAGUCAGUGUAACGAUGAGGAGUACAUGUUAACGAAGAACGUGCCCAUUCCAAGCGACAUUCCAGACAUCCUAGAUUACAAUUAUUCCCCUUGGGCGAUAGACAAUGACCACAAGCCAGUAUAUGUUCUGUACAUGAUGAGGGACAUCUUUAAAAUGCAUUCACAUGUCUGGCGUUAUACGUCGCUUGUCUCUGUCAUGAUCUUGAUCAUCGAGGGAAAACUAACGCUUUUAUGGUCAAGAGCGCCUCCCCUCUGGCUGCCAUAUACUCCACCUCUACAAUGGAGCACCAUCAUUGUAACCACACCGUUACCAUUUUACAGAAUGAAGGUCACAACAUUUUCAAACAUCUAA